UUUUAUAUAGCAACACACCACAUCAUUUCCUACCACUAUUCUUUCUCUCUUCGUUUUGCCGUUCGUUUUCCCAAGAAAAAACCAGGAACAGAAAGGGAAAAGGGGCUCUAUCCAUAUUCAUAGCAAGAAAAGAAGAAGAGAUCCCCAUGUCUCAAUCCACAUGACUUCAGAUUUUGCAUUACAAAUUCCUGCUGAGCUCGAGACAGCUCUGCAGUUGAAGACUGUGCAGUACUUGGUUACAAAGAGACCGUGGCUCGAUCUCUAUGGGGUUAAUGUUCGACCUGUUGCACCAUACGGAAGUGCUAGCAGAAGGGUAAAUGUUGAUCCAGCGUUGAUACACAGAUGCUUGCCUGAUGAGCUGCUCUUUGAGGUAUUUUCACGAAUGGCUCCAUAUGAUUUGGGAAGGGCAGCUUGUGUUUGUCGAAAAUGGAGAUACACUCUUCGUAACCCCAUAUUCUGGCGCAAUGCUUGCCUAAAGGCUUGGCAGCUGUCUGGAAUGGUUGAGAACUAUAAAAUUUUGCAAUCAAAGUAUGAGAGCUCGUGGAGGAAAAUGUGGCUUUUGAGGCCAAGGAUCCGUAUUGAUGGUCUCUAUGUCAGUAGGAAUACGUAUAUUCGCGCAGGUGUGCGAGAGUGGACCAUCACCAAUCCAGUUCACUUGGUUUGCUAUUACCGUUACAUGAGAUUUUUUCCUUCUGGCAGGUUCCUUUACAAGACUUCUGGUCAAACAGUAAAGGAAGUUGUGAAAUGCAUGAGUUUUCGUGCUUCUAAAACAGAUGGUGUUUUCAGUGGCCGCUACACAUUGACAGAUGACAAGGUUGAAGCCACUUUCAUGUACCCUGGCUUGUGUCCCACCAUGUGGAGAGCCUGCUUGAGGUUGAGGGGGACAACUUUAGGGGCCAACAAUAGGAUGGAUUUACUCUCACUUUCUACAAGUAAAGUGAACAGUGAUGGGAUAAUUGAGCCGGGGGAGGACAUUCUUGGACUAGUUGAGUUGCAAGAGAGUGUGAUUUCACGGAUAUCACACCAGAGGGGUCUAGCUCCUUUCGCAUUUGUUCCAUUUGAAGAGGUGGAAACAUCAGUUUUGAACCUGCCUGUGGAAAAGAUGGAUUAUUAUUUACCUGGCUAGUAUCUGGAUCCUUAUCAUUUGUAAACAUGUAGUUAUACCGAAGAAAUGCAGCGGACGAACAUUUGACAAUUAAAUUCUCAGCUUCUUUACAAGGGGGGAAAUGGUGAAAAGUGUGGGAAAAUGGGACGCGGGCGUAUCAAGAAAAACAAAUAGGUUGCUGUAAUUCCUCUUCAGGAAAGUUUGCAAAGAUUCAUGAACUAUCGUAAUUAUCGCUGAUGCCAAUUGCCUUGUCCAGGAGCCCAGAUGGCUUGAAGGAUUUUUUUAAUUUCCUCAUCAAUGAAAAUGACAAGUGAAGCAGCCUGCUCCUGUGCUGCAGUAGCUGCUCAUGACGUUCUUGGUUACAUGCUAGGUUUGAGAUCUUCAGUGUACACGAGGAUUCCAAGAUGGGUUCCGUGAAGUGUCCUGCCAAGAAACAAUGCAGCAUCAGGGGGACGCCUCUACAAAACAAAGGAGCUUUUUCUUUUUUCUUUUUUUUUUAUUUAAUUUUUGGUUCUAAUAACAUAGUAGCAAAUCAGACCAGCGUGACGCAAAUCAGUUGUCAAUAAAAACGGUGAAGUUGAAUACUUGUCGAAAUGGAUUGAAAAUCGCAGAAAUUGACAUGCCUUCAAUUCAGAGGGCACACAGCAGUUCAUCGUA